GGGGGUGAAUUUGGUAUCGACCCUGACGAAAACCGCACGUCGGAACGUCAGGGGACCGGGGUUCGAUUCCCCGCACCUCCACCA
rnacentral:sRNA from 1 species